rnacentral:rRNA from 1 species
AUAGCGUAUAUUAAAGUUGUUGCAGUUAAAAAGCUCGUAGUUGAAGCUCUGCGGGGCGGAUAGCUGGGCUUCGGCUUGGCUGUCUUCCUCGCAUCCACCUGAGCAGCAGCUCCGGCAUUAACUUGUCGCAGUUGUGAUCAGGUACUUUACCUUGAGCAAAUGAGAGUGUUCCAGGCAGGCUCGGGCCUGAAUCGUCCAGCAUGGAAUAAUAGAAGAGGACUGGGCUCCAUUUAUUGGUGUUAUGGCGCUUAGUAAUGAUUAAUAGGGAUAGUUGGGGGCAUUUGUAUUUAAUUGUCAGAGGUGAAAUUCUAUGAUUUAUUAAAGACAAACUUAUG